GUCGAACGGAUGAAUAAGCUUGCUUACUUCGUUAGUGGCGCACGGGUGAGUCAUUUAUAGCUAACCUGCCCUUUAGUGGGGGACAAACAGAUGGAAACGUCUGCUAAUACCCCAUACUCCUGCUUAUCAUAAGGUAAGUUGGGAAAGAUUUAUUGCUAAAGGAUGGGGCUUUAUGGUAUCAGCUAGUUGGUGGGGUAACGGCCUACCAAGGCUAUGACGCCUACCUGGUCUGAGAGGAUGAUCAGGCACACUGGAACUGAGACACGGUCCAGACUCCUACGGGAGGCAGCAGUGGGGAAUAUUGCACAAUGGAGGAAACUCUGAUGCAGCAACGCCGCGUGGAGGAUGACGCAUUUCGGUGUGUAAACUCCUUUUAUAAGGGAAGAUAAUGACGGUACCUUAUGAAUAAGCACCGGCUAACUCCGUGCCAGCAGCCGCGGUCAAUACGGAGGGUGCAAGCGUUACUCGGAAUCACUGGGCGUAAAGGAUGCGUAGGCUGGAAAUCAAGUCGAGAGUGAAAUCCAACGGCUCAACCGUUGAACUGCUCUCGAAACUGGUUACCUAGAAUAUGGGAGAGGUAGAUGGAAUUGGUGGUGUAGGGGUAAAAUCCGUAGAUAUCACCAGGAAUACCGAUUGCGAAGGCGAUCUACUGGACAACAUUAUUGACGCUGAGGCAUGAAAGCGUGGGGAGCAAACAGGAUUAGAUACCCUGGUAGUCCACGCCCUAAACGAAGCACACUAGUUGUUGCGAUGCUAGUCAUUGCAGUAAUGCACUUAACAGAUUAAGUGUGCCCCCUGGGGAGGACGGUCGCAAGAUUAAAA
rnacentral:rRNA from 1 species